UACGAGGGGGGCGAGCGUUGUUCGGAAUUAUUGGGCGUAAAGGGUGCGUAGGCGGUUUUGUAAGUCUUAUGUGAAAUCUAUGGGCUCAACUCAUAGACUGCAUGAGAAACUGCAGGGCUUGAGUGUGGGAGAGGUGAGUGGAAUUUCCGGAGUAGCGGUGGAAUGCGUAGAUAUCGGAAGGAACACCUGUGGCGAAAGCGGCUCACUGGACCACAACUGACGCUGAUGCACGAAAGCUAGGGGAG
rnacentral:rRNA from 1 species